CCGGCGCACGGGUGAGUAACACGUAGUAACGUACCUUGGAGUCCGGGAUAACCAGUCGAAAGAUUGGCUAAUACCGGAUACGACCGUGGGGGCCUCGGCCUUCGCGGUGAAAGAUGGCCUCUGCUUGCAAGCUAUCACUCCUGGAGCGGCCUGCGCACCAUUAGCUCGUUGGUGGGGUAACGGCCUACCAAGGCUGAGAUGGUUAGCUGGUCUGAGAGGAUGGCCAGCCACACUGGGACUGAGACACGGCCCAGACUCCUACGGGAGGCAGCAGUGGGGAAUAUUGCGCAAUGGCGAAAGCCUGACGCAGCGACGCCGCGUGGGUGAUGAAGGCCUUCGGGUCGUAAAGCCCUGUCGGGAGGGAAGAAGCAUCUCCGACCUAAUACGUCGGAGACUUGACGGUACCUCCUAAGGAAGCACCGGCUAACUCCGUGCCAGCAGCCGCGGUAA
rnacentral:rRNA from 1 species